ACCGGACAGAAACUCCUGAAACCAACCAUCACUUCAGGGUCUGAACUCCAAGUUAAAUAUGUGGAUGGAGAGAGCGAGAGAUUCUAUGUUCGCUACAGAACAUUUAUUUACCGGCUGAAGGUCUCACGCCGCAGCCCCGGGAACCUUUUUUUUUGGACGAGAGAUGGGAGAUGCCUGCGGGACCUAAUGGAGAAAGCAUAGGACUGGAAGUCAGACUACAGAGAAGCAAAAGAGAAGACUGGGAAUAAGAGUUUAAGAUACCAAGAAAUCUGCAAACUGCGACCGGCGGCAGGCGUUGGCUCAUUUUUGUAUGUCACAUAAAGCUAAUAUAUCGCAAAA